AAAUCUUGAACACGUAUUCUUACAAUUUGGUGACCCCGACGUGAUUUGCUGACCUGGACAAAGAAAGACGGGGACGUCCGUUUUCCGGACCGAGCUGAAAGGACCGGCGGCGUGGUUCAGCAUUGACAACAAGGGCCCAAAACAGAAUCAGGUGAGCAGACAACCUUUUGUUCUAAAUGAAUAAAAUGUCUGUGAUUGGAUACUACUAAAAAGAUUUGUUGUCAACUGCAGAAUUCGUCUCUGUCCAUUGACUGAAUAAGGUCGUCAUAAGACCACUAAAUUUAAAACUAAAUUUGAAAAUUUCCUGUUGAUCACAUGUAAAGUAUAAGCACAUACUCACACUGAAUUCAACGUUAGGGAAAGUGAAUAAGUGUCCAUAGGUUUAGGGAUUUAGGUAAAAAUAUAUAUACUCUUAGUCUGUAGAAAUCCAAGUUGCAAUCCGUGUGGUACGUAGAUACCUCUGGUAACUGCAGUCCCACGUUUGCAUGCAGUGGACUGGCAGUUUAGAAUAGUGUAGGGAUUUAGGUUUAGGGACUUAGGUAAAUACAUGAAGAGUUUAAAAAGGAAUGACGGGGCUCACUUGAGUUCCCUGAGGUCGACUCUUAGUCUGUAGAAAUCCAAGUUACAAUCCGUGUGGUACGUAGAUACCUCUGGUGACUGGGGUCCCACGUUUGCAUGCAGUGGACUGGCAGUUUAGAAUAGAGCAGGGAUUUAUGUUAAUCUUAGUCUGUAGAAAUCCAAGUUGCAAUCCGUGUGGUACGUAGAUACCUCUGGUCCUGCAGUCCUACUCGUGUGAUUCUUGGACUGGCAGGUUAGAAUAUUAGAUGAAGAAAUAAGGACACAGGGAAAGAUUUGUUGUUUUUCAUACUGGGAAAUGUGUGGGUGGUUGGUGUAACUCCUGGUGUUUUACCGAACCUGGAAGCUGGGCGUAUCAGGACUUGAAAAAGGACUGAGAAUCCGACAGUGAAAAGUGUUUGACCGGAUUACACAUCUGUGGGGAUAUGUAUUAAAGGGUAAAAGGGAAAAUCAUAGUUAAAUGAUGGUGGUAUAAAUACGAGAGAAAUAAAACAAUACGAGUGAACUGGUGUUAUAAGCCUCAACAAUCGAGCGCUGUAUUCCUCUAAUACAGUAGAAGGUUCUUGAUUGGGUUCACAGUAUUGGGCAUUGAGUCCUUUCUCUUGUGUUCAAAAACCACGUGUGAAUAAAUAAAUAACCUGUGAUGAAAAUGGAGGAAACCAUAACGAUAUGGGAGAGGUGUAAAGAAGGCACUCUGGGUUUCGCCCUGUUUAAGACUUAUAAGAGACAUAUGGAUAAAACCCUAGAAAAAGAUAGGAAAUGUGUAACAAAAAAAUAUGUGAAGUGGGUUGCACAGAUGCAGGAAAGAGGAAUGUUUGGAAGGGAGACAGAUUCUCAACCAACAGGCGAGCAGCUGCAGGACCAUCUUAGGAUGGCGAUAAGAGGAAAAGACCAAGCGCAUGCGCUCCUUGCCGUUAAAGGGAGAUUUUGUGGAAAAGAGAAGAAAAGUGCAGAAAAGGCAGAUGAGUUCUUAGUGGACUGUAGAACUUUUCUGGGAGAAAUAAAUGCGGUAUUCGUGAGUAAGACGGCAAUGCAGUUGCCGCAAGCCAAAGCAGGAGAGGAGAAAGAGCAUGAGACCGGUUGUAAAUCUAGUGCGCCUCCUCCUUACUCGACAGGCCCAUAUGCGGAGGCUAAUCGGUUGUUAAAUGAACCACAUCAGAUGCCACUGAGGCAAGGGAAAGCUACUAAUCCAGGAGAAUCUCAGGUUUUGGUAGUUCAAAAAGGGUUGUUACAGGUAACUCCAUAUCCACAUGAAGAGAAUGAUGGGGUGGAGAAGGUUUCUGCUUUUCUCUCAGAGACGGUACAAUAUUUGGAGGACAGGCCCCAGCUGGAGCCUGUCGAUUGGAGUAAUCCUAACACACCACAGGGUCACUCGACAGUCGUAAAGAAGCGGCAACCCGAGCACAGACCGAUGACCUCAUUUAAUGUAGGGGGAAGAAGAGUUGCAGGAGAAGAGACUUUGUUAGAAGUCAUAGCCCAGGCAGAGCGGCAAUCAAUCACCCGGCGUGGACAGGAUGAGCGGGGGAGGCAGGUUGAGUCAGAGGAAGAUGAGCCUGGCCCUGCAGAUGAUUGGGACGAGGAAUUUCAGGAGCAUGGAGCAGAGCUAGAGUCACAAAAACCACAGUCAUCUACUCCGAUGGAGCGCCAUGAGACAGGGGGGUUAAGAGGUAAUAGGAACAGAUAUUAUCAGGGGAAUGCAGCCAGAGCGAAUGUGCAUCAAUGUAAUGAUUUGAAACCUAAGUCAAAAAUCAGACGGGAUGCUCCGGCCUCUCAUCAACUACCACUGUUAACGGCUAUUUGUAGAGACGGAAGUGAAAAAACGACAUAUGCGCCACUCGCAUUGUCAGACCUAAGCA
ensembl:lncRNA